CUGCCAGGCCUGCAGAACAUCAGGGAAACUAUCCUAAGCUUUCUGUCUUACUAAAGGGAGAGGAGAUCCAACCUGAGGCUUUCUCUUCUUUGCCUCCUUGGAUUUUAUUGAUACCCAGCUGCCUCUUCCAAAAAACGAGGAUAGCAAUCUACACCUGCCUUGGUGCAGAGGAUGACACCAGAUUGUUUCUCAAGAUCUCUCCCAGUUCUGAUGAAACAAAACUGAACAGAGGAGUGGAAGCUACCAGCAAGCUGGGCAAGAGGAAUCAAGAGCCUGUGGUGUCCAAGAGCCUUCUUGGUUGGUACCCAUGAAAGCAGAUUGCCAAGUGUGGCAUCUGCAGAAGAAAUGUGAGAUCCUAACAGUGUCUGACAGUAGUAAUAUCAGCCUCGAGCCCUUUGGUAAUUCCAUCCCAGGUAAUACUGCUGCUGCUCAUCCAGGACCACACUUUGAGAGACACUGUGAGAGAAGGAAUUUGAAAGUAAUGGAGGUAGGCAGACCUCUCAAUAUUUGGUGGAAAAGAAAGAAAAGAAAAUCCUGGUUCAGACAAGGAGGCCAAGAGUGAGGGAAGAGCCAGAAAUAGUUCUGUACAGGGUAUGUAAGAGAGGUCAGCAUUGCUACAAAUGAAUUAAACCCACCCAAGUGAGAGCUUAU